GGGCGGUUAGCUCAGUGGUAGAGCGCUUCGUUUACACCGAAGAUGUCGGGAGUUCGACCCUCUCACCGCCCA
rnacentral:tRNA from 1 species